UAUAAAUUGAUCCAACUUUAUUUUAAUGGCAUAAAAUUAUUACAUAAAUGAUUUAUUAUAUAAUUGGUCCUCGGUGAGGACAUUGUUCCUCAAUUUAAUUUUAUUUCAAUUGUUCCAGUCAGAACGCAAGACACACUUUUUUUCUGGUUCCAAAAACCUACUGCAGCUAAUGACAUGGACUCUGAGUGGGUGGUUGUUGACAGCUUUAAGAAGUUCACUACAGGCAUAAAAUCCUUGUUAAGAAAAUGGAGAAAAAUCAAUUUCGGUACCAAUUUUCAUGACUUUAUAAAGAUUGUGUCAUGUUUUUCUCUGUAGCUUUGUUGAUCUUGUUAUCCUCCCUCCCUCUUCCCUUCUCUCGUCCUUCUUUUCUUUUUAAAAAUCUUUAAUGUGUAUCAGGAAACUACUUUGUAUCCGAUGCUGUACCUAGUAGUAAUAGCAUAUAUUUUGUACCCAAAGACUUCUUAGUCUUAUAAAGGAUUGUUUAAAUAAUUGCUCUGAUAGAGAUAGAAAUAUUGGGGCAAAGAUGGAACCGGUAACUUUGUUCAAGAGAAUGGAAGGGGAUGGGGGAACAUAAAAGGCUUCACAAAGGACAGAUGGUUGUUUGAUCUGAUUCUCUUAAUUUCAUCUUCAGAGACUUCACAAUUAUAUUGUGCAUGGGAGUAUUUUUCCAGUUUCUGUUCCUUUAAUGAAAAGGUCAGAAUGUGGGAGGCUUCUCUUAUGUUAUAGAGAAGAAUAUUUAAAGACAGAUGUGGUGGUGCGAGCCUUCAAUCUCAGUACUCUGGGAGGCUGAGGCAGGAGG
rnacentral:lncRNA from 1 species